rnacentral:rRNA from 1 species
AGUACCACUUGGGAAACAGGUAGCUAAUACCGGAUAAGAAAGCAGAUCGCAUGAUCAGCUUUUAAAAGGCGCGUAAAGCUGUCGCUAUGGGGAUGGCCCCGCGGUGCAUUAGCUAGUUGGUAAGGUAAAGGGCUUACCAAGGCGAUGAUGCAUAGCCCGAGUUGAGAGACUGAUCGGGCCACAUUGGGGACUGAGACACGGGCCCAAACUCCUACGGGAGGCAGCAGUAGGGAAUCUUCCACAAUGGACGCAAGUCUGAUGGGGCAAACGCCGCGUGAGUGAAGAAGGUUUUCGGAUCGUAAAGCUCUGUUGUUGGUGAAGAAGGAUAGAGGUAGUAACUGGCCCUUUAUUUGACGGUAAUCAACCAGAAAGUCACGGGCUAACUACGUGCCAGCAGCCGCGGUAAAU